UGAGGAGGUCUUAUCAUUUAUUAGUUUAUCAUUGACCAGCCAUCCUGAAGUCAGCCGAUCCCCUCCUGGAAUUGCACCUUUUUCAGGUUGAAUUUCUUAUUUGGGAUGCUGUUAAAUUAUACUCAGAGAAUCUAAAAUUGAUCAGGGUGAUGUACUUUGAAUCUGUCGAUGUAAUUUUUUAACUCAUCUGAUCAACUGAUGCCAAUGAGAACCAGCUUAUUGAAUUGCGAACAACAGAGAUCCAGUGUUAACUUCUUGAUAAGGUUAAUUUCUUCUCCAGUUUCUUUGCAGAUAUAAAUAAUUAUGUUUCUUGCCAUUCUUAGUCUCGUUGAUUUUUUUUCUUAUUAAAGUAACCUGUUUCUUUCUGUUCUAUUUUAAA